UACGGAGGGGGCUAGCGUUGUUCGGAAUUACUGGGCGUAAAGCGCACGUAGGCGGAUCAGCAAGUUAGGGGUGAAAUCCCGGGGCUCAACCCCGGAACUGCCUUUAAGACUGUUGGUCUGGAGUCCGAGAGAGGUGAGUGGAAUUCCGAGUGUAGAGGUGAAAUUCGUAGAUAUUCGGAAGAACACCAGUGGCGAAGGCGGCUCACUGGACCGUUGUUGACGCUGAGGUGCGAAAGCGUGGGGAGCAAACAGG
rnacentral:rRNA from 1 species